rnacentral:misc_RNA from 1 species
GAUGAAGAACGUAGCGAAAUGCGAUACUUGGUGUGAAUUGCAGAAUCCCGUGAACCAUCGAGUCUUUGAACGCAAGUUGCGCCCGAAGCCAUUAGGCCGAGGGCACGCCUGCCUGGGCGUCACACGUCGUUGCCCCCCCAUCUACUCCUUCGGGAUUGCGGGGGGCGGAUGAUGGCCUCCCGUGCGCCUCGUCGCGCGGUUGGCAUAAAUGCCAAGUCCUCGGCGACGCACGCCACGACAAUCGGUGGUUGCGAAACCUCGGUUGCCCGUCGUGUGCGGUCGUCGCGCAUCGAGGGCUCGAAAAAAAUGCCGGGCUCCGGCUCGGCUUUCAACGCGACCCCAGGUCAGGCGGGGUUACCCGCUGAAUUUAAGCAUAUCAAUAAGCGGAGGA